GACGAACGCUGGCGGCGUGCCUAAUACAUGCAAGUCGAACGCAUUUUCUUUCACCGUAGCUUGCUACACCGACAGAAAAUGAGUGGCGAACGGGUGAGUAACACGUGGGUAACCUGCCCAUCAGCGGGGGAUAACACUUGGAAACAGGUGCUAAUACCGCAUAAUUCCAUUUACUGCAUGGUAGAUGGAUGAAAGGCGCUUUUGCGUCACUGAUGGAUGGACCCGCGGUGCAUUAGCUAGUUGGUGGGGUAACGGCCUACCAAGGCUGCGAUGCAUAGCCGACCUGAGAGGGUGAUCGGCCACACUGGGACUGAGACACGGCCCAGACUCCUACGGGAGGCAGCAGUAGGGAAUCUUCGGCAAUGGACGCAAGUCUGACCGAGCAACGCCGCGGGAGUGAAGAAGGUUUUCGGAUCGCAAAACUCUGUUGUUAGAAAAGAACAAGGAUGAGAGUGGAAAGUUCAUCCCUUGACGGUAUCUAACCAGAAAGCCACGGCUAACUACGUG
rnacentral:rRNA from 1 species